ACGUAGGAGGCGAGCGUUGUCCGGAUUCAUUGGGCGUAAAGAGCUCGUAGGCGGUUUGUCGCGUCUGCCGUGAAAGUCCGGGGCUCAACUCCGGAUCUGCGGUGGGUACGGGCAGACUAGAGUGAUGUAGGGGAGACUGGAAUUCCUGGUGUAGCGGUGAAAUGCGCAGAUAUCAGGAGGAACACCGGUGGCGAAGGCGGGUCUCUGGGCCGAUACUGACGCUGAGGAGCGAAAGCGUGGGGAGCGAACAGG
rnacentral:rRNA from 1 species